GAACGGGCGCUAUACCGCAUACGUCCUACGGGGAGAAAGUGGGGGAUCUUCGGACCUCACGCUAUCAGAUGAGCCUAGGUCGGAUUAGCUAGUUGGUGGGGUAAAGGCCUACCAAGGCGACGAUCCGUAACUGGUCUGAGAGGAUGAUCAGUCACACUGGAACUGAGACACGGUCCAGACUCCUACGGGAGGCAGCAGUGGGGAAUAUUGGACAAUGGGCGAAAGCCUGAUCCAGCCAUGCCGCGUGUGUGAAGAAGGUCUUCGGAUUGUAAAGCACUUUAAGUUGGGAGGAAGGGCAGUAAGUUAAUACCUUGCUGUUUUGACGUUACCAACAGAAUAAGCACCGGCUAACUUCGUGCCAGCAGCCGCGGUAAUACGAAGGGUGCAAGCGUUAAUCGGAAUUACUGGGCGUAAAGCGCGCGUAGGUGGUUCAUCAAGUUGGAUGUGAAAUCCCCGGGCUCAACCUGGGAACUGCAUCCAAAACUACUGAGCUAGAGUACGGUAGAGGGUGGUGGAAUUUCCUGUGUAGCGGUGAAAU
rnacentral:rRNA from 1 species